ensembl:snoRNA SNORA70 Small nucleolar RNA SNORA70
CUGACGCCAGUUAAGCCGACUGUGCUCCUUUCUCUGGGGCCUGGCGUGCAGUGACCACAGACAGCAUCCUCCCUGAUAGUGUGUGCAACCUGUUGCCUGGAUGGGUUGCCCUAAGGGACCUUGGAGACAGGC